rnacentral:rRNA from 1 species
CGGUUAGGUGGGACCAACCUGCCCUGUACUGGGGAAUAAUCAUUGGAAACGAUGACUAAUACCGCAUGUGGUCCUCGGAAGGCAUCUUCUGAGGAAGAAAGGAUUUAUUCGGUACAGGAUGGGCCCGCAUCUGAUUAGCUAGUUGGUGAGAUAACAGCCCACCAAGGCGACGAUCAGUAGCCGACCUGAGAGGGUGAUCGGCCACAUUGGGACUGAGACACGGCCCAA